rnacentral:lncRNA from 1 species
UGUGUGAGUUAGUGAGUGUGUGUAUGUGUGGGAGAGGUGAUACCCUGAUUUUAUGCACUGCAUGGGGAACCACGUCUGAGGUUGUUGUGUCCCAGGAUUCCCAGUGCGUUCUCAAUGGAUUGGCAUUUGUGGUUUGUCAGUGCUCACUUGUGUGUGUUUGUGCAUUUUGGUCAAAGCUUGGAAUUGGGUAUGUUUGGGGAACUGAUAAGG